rnacentral:rRNA from 1 species
GAUGAACGCUGGCGGCGUGCCUAAUACAUGCAAGUCGAGCGAACAGACGAGGAGCUUGCUCCUCUGACGUUAGCGGCGGACGGGUGAGUAACACGUGGUUAACCUACCUAUGAGACUGGGAUAACUUCGGGAAACCGGAGCUAAUACCGGAUAAUAUAUUGAACGGCAUGGUUCAAUAGUGAAAGACGGUUUUGCUGUCACUUAUAGAUAGAUCCGCGCCGCAUGAGCUAGUUGGUAAGGUAACGGCUUACCAAGGCAGCGAUGGGUUGCCGACCUGAGAGGGUGAAGCGGCACAGUGGAACUGAGAGACGGUCCAGAGUCUGACGUGAGGCCGAGGUAGGGACUCGUGGGAAAUGGGCGGAAGCCUGACGGAUGAGCGGCGGCUGGGUGAAGAAGGUCUGCGGGUCGUAUGACGGUGUUAGGGUGGAAGAACAAAUUCGUAAGUAACGAUGCACGUCUUGACGGUACCUGCACAGAAAGCCACGGCUAACUACGUG